ensembl:lncRNA
GUAUUACAUAUUAUCUAUGAUGUUUUACUCUGGUAAAUGUCAAGCAGCGCAGAAAAAACUAGUUGCAAAUAUGGUAAAAAUACAGCAUUUGAUUCAAGCAUAGAUUAAGUAAUAAUAUAUGAAUAACAUACCAUCUCCUUUUUAGGGUAUGAGGAAAUGAGUUUGUUUUAUUUCUUUGUUGAAUGUUGCUUCGUUUGACUUGGGGGGGUAUGACUCGCCAAUAAGAGUUGUGUCAUGAAGAUGUGGUACAGGUUAACAGCCAGUCAUCGGUCAAGACUCGUGAUACAUCAGUCAAUGCCCAUAUAAAAGGCAUAAAGCCGGAUGAAAAUCCAUUUAAAGAUAUUUUAACCGUAGAAACUUCAUCAUCAAGGCGCCACGGUGGCGUGGUGGUUAGCACUGUCGCCUUACAGCAAGAAGGUCUUUCUCUGUGGAGUCUGCAUGUUCUCCCCGUGUCUGCGUGGGUUCUCUCCGGGUUCUCUGGCUUCCUCCCGCAGUCCAAAGACAUGCUCUGGGGAUGAGGUUAAUUGGGGACUUUAAAUUGCCCGUAGAUGUGUGAAUGUGAGUGUGAAUGGUUGUGUGUCUCUGUGUAGCCCUGCGAUUGGCUGGCGACCAAUCCAGGAUGUACCCCGUCUAUCGCCCGAAGUUGGCUGGGAUGGACUCCAGCCCCCCCGCGACCCUGUGUGCAGGAUAAGCGGUUUGACAAUGGAUGGAUGGAUGGAUGGUUUGAAUUUAUCUCUUAACUGAAGAUAAAGGUCCUUUGGACUGCCUUUCAAAUUUUAGUUUUCAUUCGUUCGUCAUUUUUUAAUGCAUGCAUUGUUAUUUUGAUUAAAGUUAAAUGACUUUCCAGAUGUGGAAGUAAAUCAGUAUUGAUCUUAUUAAUUUGUUAGAAUGUAAUAAACGUUGUUAUACUUUAAAGAGCAGUUUGCAUGAUUAAUUUGUCUGUGUAUAAUAUGUCUAUAAUGCAUACAGUGCUGCAAGUAGUACGAUGGUGGUGGAGUCUGAUGGUGAUGUAGUCUGAAGAUACCUCAGCUUGACUUCUUUUUAAGGCUUCCUCAGAAUCUUGUGGCUCUCGAGGAGUUCUGGGGCAGCGAGAUACAGUGGCUGUGGUGAUGUGACAGUCAUGCUGGCAACAUUCAGCGCAACAGAAGGUCUUUCUAGCUCUUUGAUGCAGACAAGAUAAAGAAUACUGACUACCUAAAUGAGCCCCUUUACACAAUAAACCGUUGUUAUGCAACAGCACAUUGGCUGAGUUCUUUUUAAAAGAAACGGCUCAACGUCAGUAUUUGGAAAUCUGCUGGAAUAAAAAAUGUAGCCGGGCGUUUAUUCAUUAUUUAUUUAUUAAAAGGUUAAUAAUGAAAAAAUCAAACACGGUGCUCCGUUUCUGUGUCAGAGUGGCAGCCACUUUAUUUUCACUCAAACUCCUCCUAAAUACCCUUUUCCCAUUCCUCUCAUUAAAAUAACAGUUAGAUUUAUCAAGUUAAUCUCCUGUGACCGUGAUUUUAUUUUUUGGCCGUUUUUGGUCAUUUUUGGUGGCAAUCGCUGAAAAAAGACCGUCAACGCCGCUAAUGACCGGUUUCGGGCAAUGCGAGCUUCAGCAACCAAUUUGGACCGCCAUUUAGCUGAAGAAGACAAAUCAGGUGGACGUCAUGAGCAACGUGAAUGAAUGAUAUCAUGCAAGGAGAUCUGGGAUGUUGGUUGAUAACGACAUGAGACAUAUUCAUGGCUCGUACUGACAUGACCCUUCAUCUGGGCAGUACAUAACUUAUAAUAUUAAUAUUGUCCUCUUUUUUUCAAGCUUUCUACAGUCCCCAGUCAGUAAUUAAACGUUAUUACAUUAUAGCUUUGUCCAUAAUUGUAUGAUUCAUAUCCUUCAGCCUUUAAUGAGAAAGGGGGAUGACGAUUUGCAUACAAAUGAAGGCACUUUUCUACUUUUCAAUCUUGCUUUUCGGAUGGUAAGAUCGCACUCGGGUUAUGAAGAUUUGGAACAUCUUGUGAGCUGAUCGCAAAACCUGAAAGCAGCCGGAGUCCUCUGAACAAUGUUGUUCAUCUGGAUUCACCCCGAGAGGUAAAUGCGGAGCCCAAAACGACAGCUUAUAAAGGCUGAGCAGCUCAAAAGACAGGAAGGACAUAUGCUAUGUGUUCAGUCUGAUUGUGUAUCAAACUGUGGAAAAUGCUGCAGGGCUAUGACGAUAUGACCAAGUCUCUGACUCCAGGAAUGUUGCAUUUACAAGACUAUGUGGGUUUAAGGGCCGAGCGAGGCUUCCGAGGCACUAGGACACUCAGGUUGGUGACAGUGUAAGUGCCGUGGCUUGAGACCGGUGGCGGGCCGGUUGGUGACGGUGUAAGUGCCGUGGCUCGACACCGGAGGAAGGUGGAGUACUUCUUUGGGGAAGAAGACAAAUCGGACUGACAACCCUAACCCGCAGGACAAGGGUUGAAAUACAGCCAGUGAUGAGUCUUCAUCGGUCGCUGCUGUGUACCGCUUAAGAAUGUGAGCAUGGGGGAACAUGAGGGAAGGACCAGGGGGGGAAACAGAGGACUUUGUUUGACAAACUCAGUGGUCAACUGUUUGGGGUAUCUCUUCCAGUAUGCAGGGUUUGACAAUGUGAAGAUACCAAAGUUUUAUUUUCUUCAUGGUUUGAAUGAAAACAUUUUUAUUUUCAUUGCUAUUUUCUUUAUAGCAGAUAAGAGUAGGUCUACAAUGUAGCUUUUCAGCACAGAAGUACUGGAGAAGUAUGUAAUGUUAACAUCUCUCUAACCAAUUAUUGUAUGGUAGUUGGAAAUGAACUAAUGGUACUACAUAUUUACAUCCAGUGUUGUCCUGCUGCCCAAAACAGCUUGCCCUCUUAAGUUUUCUUUUGUUCGGUCCCUCUGUCCACUUUCCCAGCAGUGUAUAAAAGACUUCUGAUGCCACCAGUGUUGUAAACAUGUCCUGCUCACACUGAAGGAUAUUUGUCUCCUUAGGAAAUAAAGACAGCUUUGGACUUAUUUGUACAGCACACAUACAUUUCUUGAGUAUGGUUUAGUGUUGAAUAUGGCGGCCGGUAGUCGUGAUGAUGGUAGCUUGUAGUCAGUACAUGAAUGGGUGAGGAUGACGUGUUGAAGCGCUUUAGUGUCUGGAAUAUUAUUAUGGCGACGUUUAAGCACAGGUCAUUCUCCUAACUGGUACAGGCCGCAGCAUCUUCCUACUUAAGUCACCAAAUUCACUAAGGACCUCUCUGUAUUCAAAUUGGUUCACGUUUGAUACUCAUCCAUUGACGGCGGUAUCAGAGAACAUCUGGAGGGAAAUGUUGUAGUUAGGUCUGAAGUCAUUUAUGAACCCACCAUUUAAAUAAAAAUGUGACCUUCAGGACCAAAAGUGAUAAAGUGUUAUGAACUGGCAUGAUUAGCGAAUUAAUUGAGGGAGGAGCAAGGCAUGCGGUCGCAUUAACCAUCACCACACCCUAUGCUUCACUCACUGCCAACUGGGGAGCAUUUCCCACCCCACAAAAAUAUAUUCCAAGUGAAGCUCUUCUAUCAACUGAAUGAAUAAUACGAGGAGGAGAUUAGGGAGGCUGCUGUUUGUUCAUAACACAUUCAAAAUGAAAUGCACAAAAACACAGAUGCAUAAAUGAGGGGAGGAAAAAUUUGUCACACACACAAUGUUACACAGAAAUGCACACAUACAGAUUCUCCAGGCGCUGAAUGCUAAAGCGUCUUGUCAUGGUGAUUUAUUCAUUUGCUUCUAGCAAUAACUGGGCAUAUUGUUAGCGCCCCACCCAUAAAUCUGUGUUAUUUACCCCAACACAGAUUUGGAGGGCAGAGGCAGCAGGGGAAAUUGAGAUGAAGCGCGAUCUUGACUUUACUAUGAGGAGCCUGCACAGCUCAGAGCAAGGGAGGGUGUUAAUGUGUGAGUGUGCGUGCGUGUGUGUGAUUUAAUUCUAUGAAUCUGAUGGCCAGAAUAGAUGUAUUUCCAUUUCCUCACGUUGAGCCAAUUCCAAGUCAGAGUUACACAUGACCACACUCAAUGUGCAGUCAGUGUAACCCAGCAUCAGACAAUGAGGGAUGUACUGUAAAUGUCACUUCUCCACAAGCACACUAUAAAGGUUACCUCUCAAAAUCCAUUCCUUUUAGUGUAACUUAUGCUGCCUUUCAAAUGCAACUGCUGACGUGGGUCAGGAAAAUACCCACAGUGUAAAAUUUCAAGUGAUUAGUGAUGAUCAUAAAAAAAUCAAAGCGCCUCUUCAUAAUCAAGUCAAUACUUGAGUUUUAAAGUGAGUGGUCUUGUUUGAAUCAAGUAUUAUAAAGGUUUGGCAUUAGAGUCCUUUGUGGACAACCUGUAUUAAAUAAGUCAGUGUUUAUAAUGCUGAUAUAUAUUAUUGCUUUGUUUAAAACUCACUGCCAUUUAUAAAGUGAAUGUAUGCUAACAAGAAACAAAAAACCCCCAAUUCUGACUAACAUUGAUGUACUGUAUGUGUGAUGCUCUUGCUUCAAAAAGCAGAACUUCACUUUAACAAGAACAACAACAUUGAUUAAUCGCGAUAAAUACAUUUCAAAAUUUAGUUUUUUAAUCUAUGGACAGCCCGAGUUUAGAGCAGUUGGGAAGAUCAUUUGUGGAAUCACUGGAGUUAACACCAUAUAGUGGGAGACAGAGACUGUCAAUGUAUCCACUCGGGCACCAUUUGUGCAGUAAAUUUGAAAGUGAUAGAUACCUUUUUAAAAAUGACACACUGCCUCUGUAAAACAUUAAAACCUUCAUUGCAGACCCACACAUACAGGCACACAUAACCAUACAACGUGUGUUAUAAGCCAUGGUAGUGGCGUGACUUUAGUGAUUGUGAUGUCUGUGUCUUGGAUGGUCUACCACUUUGAUGGUUGACUAAACAACUAUGGACUAGAUUGCUCUGAGAUAUGUAGAGGAGAGGUAUGAGUUUGAAUGGCAUGAUAUAAAUAAUGAUUUGAAUCAUCUUUUGAAAUUUGUACUUGUCCAGUAUUUGGUUUUGUGAACAAAUAACUGCAAACCUAGUUGUCUGGUAAUCAAACACAGUAACCCUGUGGUCCCUGAUUGGCGCAGCGCGGUCCGGCUUCCAACUGACGCGUUGUAUCUGGAUCUCAGACUGAGAGAUGAUUGAGAAUUAAUAUAUUUUGAUGUUCGGGGUGUCGAGGAAAACACCAACCAAUCACAUUUGUUGUAAAUCAGCUCAGAAAUAUCUAUAUUCCUAAUAAUUGGUAUAGUUUUUGACUGAAGCUGGUGGACUGAAGUUAUUUAGACUUGCUGUAAGAUUUAAAACAUUAUUUCUCCCUCACAUUGCAUUGCCUCUCUUCCAACUGUCCGUCUUGGCAUGCAUACACACUUGGGAAUCUCUGAAGCUUCUAACUGGAUCCCAGCCAGCAAAAUUCUUUUCAAGUGCAUCAAUGGAUUUGGAUAAAAUGGUGUUGGUGGUGGAAAGGGAAAAUCGCUCACAAAUAACUGUAAUUUCAAUGAGGGAGAAAGCUCAAGAGAGAUGGAAAGAGAAAUUGAACCAUAAUAGUGAUUGAAGAAACAUGCUUUUAUGUCAGGACCAGAUGUACUCUGGAUCCUCUCGGACAGCUGGUGCAUUUAGGAUUUUUCAUUCAAUUUCUCAAAAAUGUCUGAUAACCAUGCAAUGAUGAGCUUCACAGCACAAUUUACAGGUACAAAGCCCAAUCCGUCUAUAAACUCAGGUCUAUAAAAAAAGGAUUUUUCUGCCACACAGCAUGUCUUGAAAGCUUUCCCAUUUGUUUUCAUUUUUUUGCUUGAAAGAAAUGUGAAAUUACCAUCUGUAAUGAGCUGUUUUGAAGAGGUUUGAAGAGGUGUUUUCAAAUCACUUCAAUCUAUUUGUAUAGCCCAAAAUUGCAAAUUAUAAAUUUGCCUCAGGAGGACCCUACAGCCUUUGCACAUGAAACAUCCUCUGUCCCGAAACCCUCACAUCGGCACAGGAAAAAGUCCUCCCAAAAAUGAAAAAACGGGAAGAAACCUAAGGGCAGGGGUCUCAAACUCAUUUCAUGUGCGGGCCAGAUGCAGCCCACUUCGACCGAAUGCGGGCCAGACCAUGCAGUGGUCAGAAGGAACCACGAUCCCCACAAACAUGUGAUUUGAGAAAAGCACAAAAACUCUGGGGAAGAAGCUGAAGUAGUGUUGUGCAUUAUUAUGAGAUGUGAAUUCGAGAGAGAGAAGCUCGGUGUGUCCUAAGAAGUCCCCUGGCAGUCUAGGCCUAUAGCAGUUUAUCUAAGGGCUGAGCCAGCCCCAACUAUAAGCGAUACGACUAAGCCUUACCCCUGUAUACCUGUUCUUCAUUAACUCUGCGCUUGGGUCGACUCCUGUCUCCUGUGAUGUGUUACACUAAUACAGGAGUAAUAUGAUCUCUUUUCGUAGUUCUUGUUAAUGUAAAGGACAUCUCCUGGUCAAAGAGAAAGAGGCUGCUGGAUACCGGAGCAAUUCCAUCCAGAGAAAGUACAUCACAAGAUUGCUGACUUCGAAGGUGCUCUGGGCCUAUCAAGAUAACCUCCAUCUUAUUUUUCCUUUCUUUCAGUUUUUCAUCAGAAAGUUGCCACAUUUUGAUG